AGCUUCAUGCUCCCUUUUCUAUCAGAUCUUGAUAUUGAUUUUGAUGAUUAUAAAGGAGGAAAAAAUACACUAUCUCUGGCCUUAUAGCUAUGUAGUCUAGUGUAGAUCACAGGGCUAAAUUCAAACAGAU